UCCCAUUUAUAGUACAGUAAUGUAGAGAACUGAGGUGUUUAUCCUGCUUAUACCACAGUAAUGUAGAGAACGGAGGUGUUUAUCCUGCUUAUACCACAGUAAUGUAGAGAACUGAGGUGUUUAUCCUGCUUAUACCACAGUAAUGUAGAGAACAGAGGUGUUUAUCCCAUUUAUAGUACAGUAAUGUAGAGAACAGAGGUGUUUAUCCCAUUUAUAGUACAGUAAUGUAGAGAACAGAGGUGUUUAUCCCAUUUAUACUACAGUAAUGUAGAGAACAGAGGUGUUUAUCCCAUUUAUACUACAGUAAUGUAGAGAACAGAGGUGUUUAUCCCAUUUAUACCACAGUAAUGUAGAGAACAGAGGUGUUUAUCCCAUUUAUACUACAGUAAUGUAGAGAACAGAGGUGUUUAUCCCAUUUAUACCACAGUAAUGUAGAGAACAGAGGUGUUUAUCCCAUUUAUAGUACAGUAAUAUACCACAGUUGCCAAAGAAAACAAUACUAACAUUUGUUUGUUGAUGGUUUCAUUUAUAUAAGGAAAUUCAUGCUUUCUCAUAUUUUGGUUGUUAGAGACGUGACCCUCUGAUAUUUAUAGACGUGACCCAGCCUUCAGUUCGCUUAGUUUGAUAUUUAUGGACGUGACCCAGUACUUAGUUUGAUAUUUAUAGACGUGACCCAGUCAUUAUUCUGAUAUUUAUAGACGUGACCCAGUCAUUAUUCUGAUAUCUAUAGACGUGACCCAGUCAUUAUUCUGAUAUUUAUAGACGUGACCCAGUCAUUAUUCUGAUAUCUAUAGACGUGACCCAGUCAUUAUUCUGAUAUUUAUAGACGUGACCCAGUCAUUAUUCUGAUAUUUAUAGACGUGACCCAGUCAUUAUUCUGAUAUUUAUAGACGUGACCCAGUCAUUAUUCUGAUAUCUAUAGACGUGACCCAGUCAUUAUUCUGAUAUCUAUAGACGUGACCCAGUCAUUAUUCUGAUAUUUAUAGACGUGACCCAGUCAUUAUUCUGAUAUUUAUAGACGUGACCCAGUCAUUAUUCUGAUAUUUAUAGACGUGACCCAGUCAUUAUUCUGAUAUUUAUAGACGUGACCCAGUCAUUAUUCUGAUAUUUAUAGACGUGACCCAGUCAUUAUUCUGAUAUCUAUAGACGUGACCCAGUCAUUAUUCUGAUAUUUAUAGACGUGACCCAGUCAUUAUUCUGAUAUUUAUAGACGUGACCCAGUCAUUAUUCUGAUAUUUAUAGACGUGACCCAGUCAUUAGUUUGAUAUUUAUAGACGUGACCCAGUCAUUAUUCUGAUAUUUAUAGACGUGACCCAGUCAUUAUUCUGAUAUUUAUAGACGUGACC